rnacentral:rRNA from 1 species
GACGUAGGAUGCAAGCGUUGUCCGGAUUUAUUGGGCGUAAAGAGUUCGUAGGCUGUCCGUUAAGUCUGGUGUUAAAGAUUGGGGCUCAACCCUGAGACUGCCAGCUGGAGUACUGGCGGGCUGGAGUAUGGUAGAGGUGAGCGGAAUUCCUGGUGUAGCGGUGAAAUGCGUAGAUAUCAGGAAGAACACCAGUUGCGUAAGCGGCUCACUGGGCCAUAACUGACGCUGGAGGAACGAAAGCUAGGGUAGCGAAUGGG